rnacentral:rRNA from 1 species
AACGAACGCUGGCGGCAUGCCUAACACAUGCAAGUCGAACGAGACCUUCGGGUCUAGUGGCGCACGGGUGCGUAACGCGUGGGAACCUGCCCUUAGGUUCGGAAUAACCCCCCGAAAGGGGUGCUAAUACCGGAUAAUGUCUUCGAACCAAAGUUUUAUCUCCUUUGGAUGGGCCCGCGUUGGCUUAGCUAGUUGGUAGGGUAAAAGCCUACCAAGGCGACGAUCCUUAGCUGGUCUGGGAGGAUGAUCAGCAACACUGGGACUGAGACACGGCCCAGACUCCUACGGGAGGCAGCAGUGGGGAAUAUUGGACAAUGGGCGAAAGCCUGAUCCAUCAAUGCCGCGUGAGUGAUGAAGGCGUUAGGGUUGUAAAGCUCUUUUACCCGGGAUGAUAAUGACAGUACCGGGAGAAUAAGCUCCGGCUAACUCCGUG